UCGAGGGCCUCUGGUGCGCUUUUUGGCAGCCCGUGCGAGCAGUCGUCAGUCAGUUGGCCAAGAAACUGGUAGCGUCUGGUGUUGUGAGCCAACAAAAGGCUGGCAGCCAACACCGGACCGGACCGGGGCUACACGGCCCCGGGACCGGGACCGGGACGGACCCUUGGCCACCGGUUCUGACUGCGGAUUUUGGACUGCCAAUUGAGUUUGAGUUUGAGUUUGAGCGACGCGUAGCCAGCCAAGAAAAGUGGCCAACAACAACUGGCCCUUGCCCUUACACCCCUGGCCAUGGCACUGAGGCUGAGGUGGCCUGAGAAGACAUUGCCACGCAGCCAGGAUGUGGAGUGAAAGCAGAGCAGUGCACUGGCAGCAGCGUACUUUUUUGGCCGCACUCGCCAUUUGAUUAGCCAACUCAAACAUCAGGGCCAAGAUCGAGUCAAACAGCAGUUGAUGGCCAAUUGACAGCUCCGCACACGCAGACCCACACGCCAAUGGACACACGGAUGGACCACACUGGACCCCACCAGCAGGAUGCUCCUCCCCUACGUCCGUCUCGACCAUACAGCAAUCAUACAGAAAUAACAUCAAUUAAAAGACAAAUAAGAAGAAGAAGGAGGAGCAUCAUUCCGCAACACCAACAACCAGUUGCUGCUGUGGUGCAAAAGUGUGUGCAAAAGUGUGUGUGUGUGUGUGGAUGUGUGCGUGAGGACGUGAACUGACCAACAUGCGGUGCCAAAAAGAGUGCCACAGAAGGAGGUGGCAGGAUGACGGCAGCCCUGCCUGGCUCGGACCCAGCCAACAACCAACAAAAAACUGUAACUGAAACUGGAAGUGGAAGUGGGAUUGGAGCCAGGAACAACAACCAACCUUUGGCAAUGUUGAUUGUUUCAUCGGACCAGGCUUAAUGCAAUGAAUCGUCCUGGACCAACAGCACGUCAACGGAGCCAGGCAAACGCCAGCGAAGCCUCAAAGGAUAAACAUCAUCCACAGAGAGAGGCACUUCAAAGCAAAAACCAAUACAAAAACCUUCAAAAAAAUAACAAUAAAUAAAGUUACAAACAUUUCAACAUAGUGAACGUAGUGCUUAAAACUCUAUAUGAGCAAUAAUCGCAUAUAAUUUAAUCACACAUAAAAUACUCAACCAAAAGCAAUAACUUAUAUAAUUAAUCCCCCCAAACAAGUAUAACUAUGACGUUAUUGAAACUUAAUCGACACUUAUAAAUAAACGCAAUAGAACAAAGAAUACUCUUGAACUCUUAGUGCAAUAUAUAUAAUAUUAUAAACCUGGUUAUAUCGAAUAUGUGUUAACGACAAGCACUUGUAGACAAUUAUUUGAUCGAUCUUGAUCGAGCCUAAAUUCAAUCAGCGCGAGGCACUCCCCUGGCCUCGUCGAGCAUAAGAUGAUGAACACACAUGGAUGAUGAUGGAGAGGAGUGGAGAAAGGGAGAACAUCUGAGCGAGGAAGAGUGCCUGAUAAUGCGACUAGGCCCAAAGGAAACCUCGUUGGCCAAUUGGGGAGGAUACGCCGGCAGAGAGCCACACUGAAACUAUCGGAGGCCUGACCAACCAAUGGCAGUUCAGUGCAGAAUUGAAGCCUGGUGCAAAGGGGGACCACGGGGUGGGGAAGCAGCCGCAGGCCAGGACAACCGGCGCGCAAUGCAUUUGGCAACAUGUCAAGCAGUCCAGGAAGGAGCACACUCACUCACACGCUCUACGGGGAUUGGUGCAAGUCAGCCAAGUAAUUCUCUGGCCUGCCUCGCUCACAUGCGCAUGGAAAGUCCUUUAAGUAAUAUAUCAACCAUACGCCUGUUGGCCGGGCACCGAGUCCUUGCCCCCACAUCCAUGCCAGUGUGUGUGUGUGUGUGUGAGUGUGCCGAGGACCACGAGGUUUGCCAACUGCAUUGCAGGCCCGUUGUGAUUGAACCUGUGCCUGAGGCGAGCCCCGACCCGAGGACUCCCACCCAUCCAUCCCCAACACGAACGAUGAGUCCUUUGCAGGCAGCGCAUUGGCUGCAGGACGACUGGCGACAGGACGACCAAUCGCAGCAGCGCUUGUGCGCACUAUCCCGGCCGCCCUGCAGGCCCCCCAGGCACGAGUCACGGCACCAGGACCAGCCAGAGGACUCAAGCUGAUUGCACUAUCCAACAUUUAAACGAGAUACUUACGUAGUAGUUACAUAUUGUAGUUCUUUAGUCGUAAGUCACAUGCCCAAGCCUACGCCCCCGAAAACACCAUCUGCACGGGGGGCGUGAAUAAAUUAGUUUAUGUUUAUCUUAGAGUUUCAAGCAACUUACAUAUAUAAAAGUAAUGAAGAUUUCAAGAAUGCGAAAGAAAAAAAUAAAGGAAUAAAACCGGUAAAGCUCCAGAGCGGCAAA